rnacentral:sRNA from 1 species
UAGUUUAUACUUGUAGGCUAUUUGGUU